rnacentral:rRNA from 1 species
UACGUAGGGCGCAAGCGUUGUCCGGAAUUAUUGGGCGUAAAGAGCUCGUAGGUGGUUUGUUACGUCUGCUGUGAAAACCUAGGGCUUAACCCUGGGCCUGCAGUGGAUACGGGCAGACUAGAGGUAGGUAGGGGAGAAUGGAAUUCCCGGUGUAGCGGUGAAAUGCGCAGAUAUCGGGAGGAACACCGGUGGCGAAGGCGGUUCUCUGGGCCUAAUCUGACGCUGAGGAGCGAAAGCGUGGGGAGCAAACAGG